rnacentral:rRNA from 1 species
CAGACGGGUGAGUAACGCGUGAGAACAUGCCCUUAGGUUCGGGACAACAGUUGGAAACGGCUGCUAAUACCGAAUGUGCCGAGAGGUGAAAGAUUAAUUGCCUAGGGAUUGGCUCGCGUCAGAUUAGCUAGUUGGUGAAGUAAUGGUUUACAAGGCGACGAUCUGUAACUGGUCUGAGAGGAUGACCAGUCACACUGGGACUGAGACACGGCCCAG